rnacentral:rRNA from 1 species
CCAGAAAACCCCGUGGAGACAUGGGGGUCCCUUCGGGAACUCUGACACAGGUGCUGCAUGGCUGUCUUCAGCUCGUGUCGUGAGAUUUUGGGUUAAGUCCCGUCACGAGCGCCACCCCUCUCCCUACAUUCCCCACGUAAAGUCGGGAACUUUAGGGAGACCCCCCGUGAUAAACCGGAGGAAGGUGGGGAUGAAGUCAAAUCAUCAUGGCCCUUAUGGCCAGGGCUACACACCUGCUACCAUGGCCGGUACAGAGGGUUGCCAAACCGCGAGGUGGAGCCAAUCCCCCAAAACCGGUCCUAGUCCGGAUCGGAGUCUGCAACUCGACUCCAUGAAGUCGGAAUCGCUAGUAAUCGCGGAUCAGCAUGCCGCGGUGAAUACGU